rnacentral:sRNA from 1 species
AGAAGUUAUUGUGAACUUGUAGAAAGGAAUACAUUGUCUGUACCUCUUUCCUGAAGCGACGGUCACUGUAGAAAUAUAUAAAACAGUUAACAACAUGGUUAAGAUAUCCGAGUUCAAAACCAAACAGGAAUAUAUAGGCCUCAGUUACGGACAUCCCACUCAGUGUCUCUUCCGCCAGGAUCCGGAGGAGCGUCAAAACAAGGAACGUGAUGAGGGUCACAAAGAAUAUGAUGCUGAUGAGAAACAGGCCAAUGGUGACCUUUGUAACAGCAUUGUUGAUCAUAAACCUUCUUGUUGAACACAGAGACUUAGAGGACAGGGACCGUGUUGCCUGCGGUUUGCUGUAAUCUAGGCUGCAAACAGACGAAACGCUCAGCGAGAUCUUCAGGGUGUUUGGACCCUUGUCCUCUGAUUGGGCAGAGUUUGAUUCUUUUGUCGAUUCGUUUGCCGCCAUUUUCGUGAUAUUUUGAAAAUCGGAUGAAUGGUUUAUGUCUGCCUUGUCGGCAUCUUCGAUGUUUAUUUGAGGAAUGUCAUAAUUUUCGGUAUAUUUGAGGGAUUUCGACAAUCUGCUUAUGGAUUCCUCGGUCUUUCCCGAUGACACCUGUGUGGUUUCACUUUCGCUGAUUUUCGCGUGGUGUUUUCGUAAAGUGUUACUCCGUUGAAUAGCUCUUCUAAUGGGGAGAUACAGUAACACAAUAGCGAACCCUAAGACAAGAACCUCGAAAAGAAGGAAAAAGAAGUAGCCGGUUGGUAAAUAAGAUUCUUUUAGAUCGUCACUAACGAAACACUCGUAACCAUUGGUGUCGUUUGAGAGUGCAACUGUGUGCGUUCCCGCAAUGUAACCGAUCGGGGCAGCAUUAAACGUGGCUAUCAAAAACAGAACCAAACAGAAUUUCCGUGCUGUAGAACAUGAAAUCUGCUCCCGAACAGGAUAACAAAUUCGUCGAUAUCUCUCUACGGCUAUCAGAACUGUUAGGAAAGCCGACCAUAUUCCCCAAACAUAGCUGUUGAGAAGAGCCAGGCGGCAUGUUAGGUCAUAAUCGAAGGAGAAGGGUUUCAUCACCAUUGUUAUUUCCACGGGAAGAUACGUCGCGCAGACGAACAAGUCCGAAACUGCAAGAGCUGAAACCAUGACGUGAUAGGUCGAAAAGUUGUUGAGGUUUCGAGAGAAAACAAUCAGGAUGUGAAAAUUUCCCAUAAUUCCUACUACGGAGAAUAAACCGACAACAACUGCGACUGGGAUUCUCUUGAUGAUCUCCUCAUGUUCCACUUCCGCCCAAAACUGUUGUGUGUCCAAAUCAGUUAAAUUUUUCAUCCUGAAGAAGAAAUAAAAAUAAGAGAAAUGCAAACGAGUUUACAUCAGAUAUGACACGAAAUCAAUAUGCUUUGAUAUUUAUUUUUCACACUUUAAAAGAAAUAUAAAUUUAUAAGAUAU